rnacentral:rRNA from 13 species
CACGAAUGGCGUAACGAUGGCGGCGCUGUCUCCACCCGAGACUCAGUGAAAUUGAAAUCGCUGUGAAGAUGCAGUGUAUCCGCGGCUAGACGGAAAGACCCCGUGAACCUUUACUAUAGCUUUGCACUGGACUUUGAGCUUGCUUGUGUAGGAUAGGUGGGAGGCUUUGAAGCACAGUCGCUAGAUUGUGUGGAGCCGUCCUUGAAAUACCACCCUGGUGUCUUUGAGGUUCUAACCCAGACCCGUAAUCCGGGUCGGGGACCGUGCAUGGUAGGCAGUUUGACUGGGGC